CAAAGCAAAGAUGGAGAAAUCAAGAAGGCUGGCUCAGAUGGUGACAUUAUGGACAGUUCCACAGAGGCUCCUCCCAUCUCGAUCAAGUCCCGCACCCAUUCAAUGUCUGCUGACCCUUCAUGCAGACCUGGGCCAGGGGGCCAAGGGCCUGAGUCUGCCACCUGGAAGACACUGGGGCAACAGUUGAAUGCAGAGCUCAGAGGCCGUGGUUGGGGCCAACAGGAUGGUCUGGGCCCCCGUCCCCAUGUCCAAGCCCAAGCCCCCGAAGAUCCAGUCCCUCCCCAGACAGCCUGGGCCUCCCAGAGGAUCCCUGCUUAGGCUCCAGGAACGAAGAUGGCUGGCUGAGGCCGCAGCCCCGUUUGGCAGGGCGACGAGCAGUGUCUGUGCAUGAGGACCAGCUCCAGGCCCCUGCUGACCGGCCCCUGCGGCUACAGCGCUCCCCUGUCCUCAAGCGCAGGCCAAAGCUUGAGGCGCCUCCAUCUCCAAGCAUAGGAUCUGGCCUUGAAGCCGAGCCUCUACCCACCCAGUCUACAGAGCCCUCCAGCCCACCCUCCCCAACCACAAACCAAAGAGGCGGCGGCCCCAACCCCUGA
rnacentral:lncRNA from 1 species